GAGGCAAACCUUAGCAUUCUGAGGCUUCUUUCUUGUACCAGAGCUCUCCAGUCUGUGGUGCUGUCAGAGAGCUCAGGGAGACAGGGCUCUUGGGUGGGGUGAGUGAGGAACCUUCCCCAGCUAGCGACUGGCCUCUCCUGGGUGCAUCUUCACCAUGACCAUUUUCUCUUUCAUUGAAGUGUCCCCGGACAGGAGAGCUGCUAGAAUCGUAUCCAGGAACUGAAGAAUGCAGGAGCUGCUGAAUCCAUGUGAUCCAAAGCUUGUAUUGUCUUAAAACAACAAAUGGUCCAGACACCCUCCUGUCCCCCAAUAUUCACUUUACACUCUUGUGUUUUGGAAGAAACCAGUAUCAAAGAAAGAGAGAAAUAAUUUCAUGAUAGUUUGUGCAAGGCUAAUCUAGAGGUUUCAGGAAACUCAAGUUGGGACUUCAAAGACCUACAUGCAGAAAGACAGGAAACCAUUUCCCAAGAAACACUACAUACUUGUACUAAGCCAGCAUCACUCACAAGAUAAAAUGUGUAAAAGUCACUUUCUACCUGGGACCCCCCCACAGUGGACCUGAAAUAAUCAAACUCUGGAUGAAAUCAAUAAAAUAGAAAUAAAAACAACAAAAACAAUAUAGAAUCAAUAAAAUAAA